UACGUAGGCAGCAAGCGUUGUUCGGAAUUACUGGGCGUAAAGAGCUCGUAGGCGGUUUGUCACGUCUGCUGUGAAAUCCCGAGGCUCAACCUCGGGCCUGCAGUGGGUACGGGCAGACUGGAGUGCGGUAGGGGAGAAUGGAAUUCCUGGUGUAGCGGUGGAAUGCGCAGAUAUCAGGAGGAACACCGAUGGCGAAGGCAGUUCUCUGGGCCGUAACUGACGCUGAGGAGCGAAAGCGUGGGGAGCGAACAGG
rnacentral:rRNA from 1 species